AAUAUUGGACAAUGGGCGAAAGCCUGAUCCAGCCACGCCGCGUGAGUGAUGAAGGCCUUCGGGUCGUAAAGCUCUGUGGGGAGGGACGAAAAAGGCAGGGAAGAAUACGCCUUGCCCUUGACGGUACCUCCUUAGCAAGCACCGGCUAACUCUGUGCCAGCAGCCGCGGUAAGACAGAGGGUGCGAACGUUGCUCGGAAUUACUGGGCGUAAAGCGCGUGUAGGCGGAUGGUCAAGUCAGGCGUGAAAGCCCUGGGCUCAACCUAGGGACUGCGUCUGAAACUGGCCAUCUUGAGUGUCGGAGAGGGAAGCGGAAUUCCUGGUGUAGAGGUGAAAUUCGUAGAUAUCAGGAGGAACACCGGUGGCGAAGGCGGCUUCCUGGACGAUUACUGACGCUGAGACGCGAAAGCGUGGGGAGCAAAC
rnacentral:rRNA from 1 species